UUUAGAUAUAUUUCAAAUAAAUGCAUUUAGAACUAUAAAAACUUCUCUGUGAUUGGCAGUAAACUGUUUUAAAAUCCCAUUCUAGAAGCAUUUCCUGUUAAAAUAUAUUAAUGUUUGCUAGUUUAACAAAAGAGGUUAACAAAGCAUCCUAUAUUCCCAUCAGUAAUAUUGUACUUGUGGACUACAGGCAAAUGAACCUGUCUUUUUCUUUUUUAUUGUUUUAAAUUUUAUUUAUUAUUUUAGAGAUGGGGUCUUGCUAUGUUGCCCAGGCUGGAGUGCAGUGGCUAUUCACAGGCCUGAUCCCACUACUGAUCAGCACGGGAGUUUUGACCUGCUCCGUUUCCGACCUGGGCCGGUUCACCAGUCCUUAGGCAACCUGGAGGUCAGAUCAGAAGAGAGUC